rnacentral:lncRNA from 1 species
UCACAACCAUCUGUAAUGAAAUGUAAUGCCCUUUCCUGUGUGUCUGAAGAGAGCAACCAUGUACUCACAUAAAAUAAAUGUAUCAAUCUUGAAAGAAAGAAAGAAAGAAAGAAAGAAAGAAAGAAAGAAAGAAAGAAAGGAAGGAAGAAAGAAAGAAAGAAAGAAAGAGAAAGAAAAAUAAAAACCAUCCCUAACUCCAGUUCCAGGGGAUCCAAUGUCCUCUUCCUACCUCUGUGGGUACCAGCCUUCUGUGGGAACCAGGCAUGCAGGUAAAAUGCUCAUAUACAUAAAAAUCAAUCUAAAAAAUUAAAAAUUUUAAAACUAGGACUG